UGCUGCCUUCUACUGCCUUUCUCUCCUGUCUGCAGAGGGAAAGAUAGAUGUGGGAGCAGUGAAUUAGCUUCAACUUCAAACAUGUGGAUGAAGAAAACAUGUCUGUCAUCCCUUGGUGUCCACAUUCAAUGAAUCCAGUCUGUCAGGAUGAAUAGACACAGAGCAUAAGCUUCACAAGGUAUGAAUAUGAUAUGAUGGCUUGAGACACAUGAAUGGUGUUACAAGUUAAAAAGGGCUCCCAGGCACUAAUGUGGAAAUUUGACAGUCAUGUAAGCUGAAUUUUCAGUGUCACUGAAUAUCUGAUGAUCAUGUUGAAAUCCUAGGCAUGAAUU
rnacentral:lncRNA from 1 species